rnacentral:lncRNA from 1 species
AUUACACGGUGUAGUACGUUGACGGUUGCUAUUCGAAAAAAAACGCGUCCGCUGUUGCUAUCCGAAACUUUUACGGUUGCUAUCCGAAAAAACCCACGAGUAAACAUGGUAAGUGUUUGAAUUUCAUCAAUAUUAUGUAUUAAAAAAACUUUGAUCUUGUAUGAUAUCGUCUUCACGGAAUAUAAGACAUAUUUGUCUAACGAUUUCAGUUCAGUUUGAUCAGUGCAAACGAUAACGGGUAUUUGGCAUGUGUGAUCUAAUUUAUUCAUCUCGCUUUCAAAGACGAGACCUAUUUUCCUUGUUAGGGGUAGACAGUAUUCGUUGAUAAUAUCUAUAGUAUUCCGUAAGACCAGUUUUAUUAUAUAUAUACACAAAUUACCUGCGCCUGUUGACGUUUCUUUGGGCUGCUCCAUCCUAAAUUGCCAUUUUAUUUCGGAUAGCAACCGUAAAAGUUUCGGAUAGCAACAGCGGACGCGUUUUUUUUCGAAUAGCAACCGUCAACGUACUACACCGUGAUUUAUAU